rnacentral:rRNA from 1 species
UACAGAGGUCUCGAGCGUUGUUCGGAUUCAUUGGGCGUAAAGGGCGCGUAGGCGGCGGGGCAAGUCGGGUGUGAAAUCUCAGAGCUCAACUCUGAAACGGCACUCGAUACUGCUUUGCUUGAGGACUGGAGAGGAGAUUGGAAUUCACGGUGUAGCAGUGAAAUGCGUAGAUAUCGUGAGGAAGACCAGUGGCGAAGGCGGAUCUCUGGACAGUUCCUGACGCUGAGGCGCGAAGGCCAGGGGAGCAAACGGG